rnacentral:rRNA from 1 species
UACGAAGGGGGCUAGCGUUGCUCGGAAUCACUGGGCGUAAAGGGUGCGUAGGCGGAUCUUUAAGUCAGGGGUGAAAUCCUGGAGCUCAACUCCAGAACUGCCUUUGAUACUGAGGAUCUCGAGUUCGGGAGAGGUGAGUGGAACUGCGAGUGUAGAGGUGAAAUUCGUAGAUAUUCGCAAGAACACCAGUGGCGAAGGCGGCGACCUGGUCCUUUUACUGACGCUGAGGCGCGAAAGCGUGGGGAGCAAACAGG